rnacentral:rRNA from 1 species
GACGAACGCUGGCGGCGUGCUUAACACAUGCCAGUCGAACGGAAAGGCCCUGCUUUUGUGGGGUGCUCGAGUGGCGAACGGGUGAGUAACACGUGAGUAACCUGCCCUUGACUUUGGGAUAACUUCAUGAAACUGGGGCUAAUACCGGAUAGGAGCUCCUGCUGCAUGGUGGGGGUUGGAAAGUUUCGGCGGUUGGGGAUGGACUCGCGGCUUAUCAGCUUGUUGGUGGGGUAGUGGCUUACCAAGGCUUUGACGGGUAGCCGGCCUGAGAGGGUGACCGGCCACAUUGGGACUGAGAUACGGCCCGGACUCCUACGGGAGGCAGCAGUGGGGAAUAUUGCACAAUGGGCGGAAGCCUGAUGCAGCAACGCCGCGUGCGGGAUGACGGCCUUCGGGUUGUAAACCGCUUUCGCCUGUGACGAAGCGUGAGUGACGGUAAUGGGUAAAGAAGCACCGGCUAACUACGUG